GAACAAAGGAACUAAAUAUGGAAAAACAAAUAAAUAAAGACGAGACGAAAGGAUAUUUUACUCACGCGAGAGUUACUUGGUGGAGAAACAGAAAAUGGUGAAGGUGAAGAUGAUAACUCCAGCAGUGAAGACCGGUUUGUUCGUUGGGUUGAACAAAGGACAUGUCGUCACCAGACGUGAGCUAGCUUUUCAACCCAAUUCUCGCAAAGGGGUAACUCUAAUGGAGUGGGAAUUUCGAAGAUAUCCAUGUCCUUAGAUCUUAAGACGUUGUAUAAGUCUAGCUUUUCCAAGGAUUCAGUUAAUAAGAGCUUUAAAAGGAAAAACAUAUAUGAGGAUGAUGGUUAUCGGUUGAAGCAGGACAAGAAGAGUAGGAAAGUUGUUUCUCUAAGUAGCUUUAAGAAGGUUGAUAGCAAAAAACGUGAAAAUUCUCGAUACGGCAUGCAGUGGCACCACCAUAUUGCACAAUUUGGAGGACUCCAAGCUGGAGUUGGACGAGAAAUUAUGUGACAGUAGUGGACUUCAAGGGAUUUAUGAAACUUCGGGAUGCUUUGAUCGGAGAUGUCCUGCAUUCUUUUUAGCAAAAAUUGCUUGAGCAUGCGCCUUCUCCCAGGAUACGUAAUUUCUAAUCACAAGAGGAUUUGAGAUAAUUCUUCGUGUUUUCGACUUGAAUCGCAAGUCUUUCUUCUCUUGAACAUGAUGUGGGUUGUGAGGACUGGUAAAAUUGUGCACACAUUAGAAACCAAGUCUCUUGUCACCAGUGAUGAAGUGAGUCAAGAUGGACGGUAUAUAAAAACUGCUGAUGGGUCAACUGUUAAAUUCUGGGAUGCGAAUCAGUAAACUUCUCGUUUCAGGAAAUUGAAUUUAUGUGCUUUCUAUUGAAAAAACAAUAUUUUGUUGGGAGUAGUAGGUUUGAGAAUGGACAUGUGAGGUUUUACUAGCGAAAAAGGUUAUUACCGAAACCAAAGACAUUAUUGGUCGUCUACAAAGGUUAUGGUGUGGGUGAAGAAGGGUAACAACGACGGAGCUGCAGGUGAAAAUUGUAUCUGAAUUAUCGUUUAAAGGUUGGAACUUUGGAUCAUUUGCUUUGAGGAUGACUAUAGUGAAUGUUUGUCUUCUUGUUCCAUGUAAAAGAUAAAAAUUACAUGUAUAAUGUUAGU